GCUUCUCUCUCUGCCCCUCACUCACUUGCGCCACCCCCCCCCCCAAAAAAAAUUCUCUCUCCCUCUCUCUGCCCUUCCCCUGUUCUCUGUAAAUAACUUAAAAAAAAAAAAUCUCUUUCCAGAUCCCUGGCUUGAGACCCACAGCUGGAGCUGGAAUACCAGCUCUGCUUUAAUCUAAGCUCACGCAUAUUUGGGCCCUUACUUUCUUGCACAGCCUGAAGCAGCCUGUGUCUUGUGGCCCUUAACUGACAGGUCUUUUCAGGAAAUGCUGGGGCAGAAUGGCACCUGGCACUGCCCUUGUGUAUUUGGGACGGGAGCGCACCAACUGCAAAGCUAAAGGACACAGGAUUAAAACUUUCCACUGCAUUGAACAAGACAGCAGGCAAGUCCACUUGGAAGUUGGAAGCUGGCUUGGUGCAAGCAUGCAGACUUGGGCCGGACACCAGUCACAGCUACUCCACUGCAGGCUUCGGUCGUAUAUUGACUUUCUAGAGGCUGGCAAGUCCAAGAUCAACGAGCUGGCAGAUUGGGUGUCUGGUGAGAGCAUGCUUCCUGGUUCACAAACCAUCUCGCUGUGCCCUCACGUGGCAGAAGGGAGGAAGUCUGGGGCUCCAUCCACGUGACCUCAUCACCUGUCCCUCCACAACCGUCACACUGGGGAUUAGGUGUCAAUGUAAGUAUUCUGGAGGUGCACAGACACCUUACCUGGUCCUGCUGUCAGGCUGUGUACGGGCCACACUCUGUCUGGGACUUAGGCCUGAUGCCGUUGCCACUAUGAGGUGAAAUCGCACCACUGGAAAGGACUCUACAGCUAGGAACUCUUGACCCAUAGUAACAUGGAACUCAAAGUAACUACCCAGAAUUCUAACCAGAGUUAACACAUUUAUUCAUUCUUUUAUUGAUAAUCUUCCUUUUGUGCACACAUAUGCAUGGGUGUGGCAUACACACAGGUAACCUGUGAUACUUGGUUUCCCAUUACGUGCCAGAAUCCUCACCCCUUCACUCAAGCUUGGAGCUGUGACUCCAUUCCAGGGGCAGAUGGCAUCCCAGUGUGCUUGCCAGGACCCCAGAGGGACAAAGCCUUCAGUUUCUCCAAAGGAGGCACUUUCAGGAACCACUUCUUCAAACACUGGGCCAUAGCAUCUCUCCUCUUUGAACCAACUCAGACUUUUAAAGACAGAGAGGUACACUCUCUCCUCAAAGAGGCCUGCUUCUGCCAGCCCUCUAACUCCUGCCCUGCCCCUCUCUGCCCACCCUGAUGUGAGGUCCGUAUCUCAUACUCAGUCUUGGGCGCCCAGCUCUGGUGCUUCCUGUGCUCACGGGGGGCAAGAGGUGUGCGGAUGGGGGGCUGCUGUCCAGGGGCCCGCUCACGCAGUCCCUAAAGACCCUGUCUUUGACUGAGUGCCAAAACAGGGGCUCAGGAUUUCAGAGUUUUCUCCCCGUUGAAUGCUGUUAGGUUUCACACCACACAUUUCCAUCCUGUCUCUUUCCAAAACUGAGCUGAGGUGGCUUUCAGGUAUGUCUGGUCCUCAGCCUCCUUCUCUGCAGAGCAGCAGCUUCCCAUAUCAAAGGAAUCCCAGGCCACAGGGCUGAUGUCCCAAACCCCAGCCUGGCCCACAUGCCUUCUCCAACUGGGGCUCUAGCUGCCUCUCCACCACCUCUCUUACUGCUCCAGCCCUCACCCCACCUGCUGCCUUCUGCAACCACAGUGUCUUGGCCCAGGUUUCCCUUCUUUGUAUUUUCAUAGCCCUGGGCAGACCUCUACUAUGGCCUUACUUCGCUCAUGACCAUCCUGUUUACUAAUCUGUUGCUCUCACUAGAUGUUAAGCCCCUCCGUGGCCGGGGCCAGUAUCUCCUGCAAUUUACCUUUGUAUCUCAGAUGCCUGGCACAUAAGAGGUGCAAGAUAAACGCUGAAUGAAUGAAAGAAUUAACGAAUGAAUGAAUGGUGGAGACUCAAGGACACUUUGUCACUAGCUCCUGGGAAUGGGCUGUGGAUUCUUGUGGGGAAGAGACAUCAUGACCAGAGGGUCAGAGAAAGAAAAUUAAGGGGGAUGCCCAGGGAUCAAGAGGU